AUUGAACGCUGGCGGGAUGCCUAACACAUGCAAGUCGAACGAGUGGCGGACGGGUGAGUAAUGUCUCGGAAACUGCCCAAUGGAGGGGGAUAACUACUGGAAACGGUAGCUAAUACCGCAUACCAUCGGAUGUGCCCAUAUGGGAUUAGCUAGUAGGUGGGGUAACGGCUCACCUAGGCGACGAUCCCUAGCUGGUUUGAGAGGAUGACCAGCCACACUGGAACUGAGACACGGUCCAGACUCCUACGGGAGGCAGCAGUGGGGAAUAUUGCACAAUGGGGGAAACCCUGAUGCAGCCAUCCCGCGUGUAUGAAGAAGGCCUUCGGGUUGUAAAGUACUUUCAGCGGGGAGGCGUUACCCGCAGAAGAAGCACCGGCUAACUCCGUGCCAGCAGCCGCGGUAAUUC
rnacentral:rRNA from 1 species